UAGGGUUUAUGGGUGGAGAUUUGGGGAAGAAGAAAAAGUAAAAAAAAUAGUUAAGGUUUAAGGUUAAAAGGGGUGAAACGGUCGUGUUUAGGCCCGUAUUGGGCCACACGGCUUUGUCACACGCCCGUAUGGCUCAACCCAAUCGCGUGCAUUAAAAAAAUUUUAACCCGGUCUUCACACAGCCGUGUGUCAUGAUCAUGUGCAACAUCCUUCGCUUCUCCUACACCUGUGUGAACUUUCACAUGCCCGUCGGGCUCAUCCGUGUCUCACACACGGC
rnacentral:lncRNA from 1 species